rnacentral:rRNA from 1 species
GAUGAACGCUGGCGGCGUGCCUAAUACAUGCAAGUCGAGCGAACGGACGAGAAGCUUGCUUUUCUGAUGUUAGCGGCGGACGGGUGAGUAACACGUGGAUAACCUACCUAUAAGACUGGGAUAACUUCGGGAAACCGGAGCUAAUACCGGAUAAUAUUGAACCGCAUGGUUCACAAGUGAAAGACGGUCUUGCUGUCACUUAUAGAUGGAUCCGCGCUGCAUUAGCUAGUUGGUAAGGUAACGGCUUACCAAGGCAACGAUGCAUAGCCGACCUGAGAGGGUGAUCGGCCACACGGGAACUGAGACACGGUCCAGACUCCCACGGGAGGCAGCAGUAGGGAAUCUUCCGCAAUGGGCGAAAGCCUGACGGAGCAACGCCGCGUGAGUGAUGAAGGUCUUCGGAUCGUAAAACUCUGUUAUUAGGGAAGAACAUAUGUGUAAGUAACUGUGCACAUCUUGACGGUACCUAAUCAGAAAGCCACGGCUAACUACGUG